UCAACACUAUACUACUAAAAAAUAAUAUUAGACUAAUGAAUAGUAAUUAAGAUACUCUGACCAUCCUCCUAACUGGUACCAUCUUUUUCUAAGCAUUUUGCUUGGAAAUAUAAUGUAUGAUCCAUUUAUAUAUGGUUUUGUAGCACAAAUUUAUUGUCUCUCCCUCUCAUAAUAAACCAUCCUCUCCUCUCACUUGAUAUGCUCUCUAAUACAUAUUCACAAGAAUUUAUCAUCUCAAGAUGAAGACUAAUAGCUUGGUAUGAUUGUGUGUGUGCAGUGCCUUAUUAGGUGUGAAUAUGCCAGCAAGAGUUGAAAGGACAGUGAGAAAACGUAGUAGUGAAUUACAACUUGUAGGGGAACCCAUUGGAGAGUUCUAUGAUGUAAUAUUACAUUUUGGGAUCAUAGACAUACUUCAAGACUAUGACAUCAGCAAGAAGCUUGAACAUGCCUACAAGUCCAUUCAAUAUGAUUCAACCUCAAUAUCAGCUGUUGAUCCAAGAUUAUACUCCAGGCGCUUUCGCGACUUCAUCCUUAGAAUAUUCACUGAAGACUCUUCCUGAAAGUAUAAGGGAACACAUCAUGAGGAAAGCUAAAAGCUAGAGAGACUAUGUACAUGCAUGUUGCACACAUCUGCUAGAAUCUAAAUAUCUAAUGCGGCAGCUUCAUCAGUUACUAUUUUGUUAAAGCUAGAUAGAGAGGGGUGGCAGGGAACUCCAACAUUUUGUAUUGGUAUUAGAUGUACAUUAGAAAAAUUGAAAUUAAUCAAUGUGUGCCUUUUGACUUCUCCGUUUGAUUAGUACUUAUCUUACUGAAAUAAUACUAGUCUCAUUUCGACGUCAAAUAAGGACAAUAAAAAGGAGCACUUAAAGAGAUUAAAGUUACCAUGGAUAAUUGACUGAACAGCAUCAAUGCCAAGCCAAUCACUGUUAGCAGGAAAAAC